CAAACCCCACACGUUGAGCCUGCUUCUACCUAUGCAAAGCCCAAGUCUUUCCUCUUUCUUUGUUCACGUCAAAGUUGGGCAGAGGGAAAGAAAACCUCGAUCAGCAACUCUGUUCCACGUUACCAACAUGCAGAUGGCAACUCCUCCAAGAACAUCACUCCAGACAUUCAAAAGAGAGAAUCCCAAACUAGAGGUCGUCGUCCAUCCUCCUCUUCUCGCCCUUUCUCUCUUUGCUGGGCAUAUCAGUGUGUUUGCAUGCCUCGAAACUCCUAGUUAGGGACCUCCAAUCAAAAAACUUUCUUCAUCAAAGUUAUUCGCCUAUGUCUCCUAUAUCUAGUCUCCAAAUUUCAGCUCCAUCGGAGUCGUUUUGAGACCUGUACACCCCUCGAAGCGGAAGCUAUUCGGAAGCAAGCCUGUUCCGGAUUUCUGCUUGAAUUCCCUCUCUUGCUCUACCCAAAUCCCCCACAUCUUGCUUGAAAUUCUACCAACAGUUGAUUGAGCGAAUUUCUUGGCCUGCAACUGGGCUCGAUCCAAUCAGCUCCCUCAGCUCUCCUUCCUGUUGAAACCCUCAAGAGAAACUCACCUUUUUGGUUAGUCUUUGGAUCUUGUGAAGUGGUGGUUGCUACAAGGUUGCAUUGAGGCCAAGUGCUGCAAGAGAAAGCUCGAGUUCCAGAUGUUUGGGUGUUUUAAAUCGACAUCGGCACUUCCCAAGAUCUGUCGUUCGUGUCGGAUCAUGCAGCUUGAUUGAACUUCCUCCUAGGCAGUGUAGAUGACCUAACACGUCUCCUCCUUGUUGGGUUCCGAUUUAGGUGGACACGGGUUCAGCUCGCUUGGUUUAGACCUUUGGAGUCUUUCUUGGUUUGUUUAGUUUGAGUGUGUUUUUUUCUAUUUUGGUAUGUAAUAUUGUGGGCCAUUUUUUUUUAUAUUCUAGUAUUGUAAUUUUUUUUUUUAGGGCAACGGAAGACAUAUCCAUGGAUGAAAAUCAUACGACCUCUCUCGGUCAAGCUAUAAGGGUCCGAAGAUCCCUCAUAUUAUAGAUCGAUGCUCAGAAAAGAAUGAAUAAAUUCCAAAAAUGAACAUCCAAAAAGACUAAAAUCCUAAAGGAACUACAGAAAACUAAAGUACAUAAAUUAAAAACUCCCUAACCCUAUACUGUCCUAGAAUGGAACCACUGUCUUGAACAUCUUGACGCCUAAGACCCUCUUGGUGUACGUCGCAACAAUCAACACAGCCAUAGCAACGCUCUAGGAAUAGCUAGACUAAAAGGAGGAUAUGCCCCUUCCCAUAGAGCCCAAAUAACUCCCAACGCAAGUGAGAGAGGAAGAAGGGGAACUGGCCAGGCCCAGUUCACCGGACUGCAGCUCUGCAACCCAACAAGGCAGAGGCCCAAGUCCACUGCCCAAACCCUUCGUCCACAACACCCAAAUUGGGCAGAUCUGAAUUUGUAGGGAAGCAGCCACCGCUCCAGCGGCCUCUAUCGGCCUUCCAGCAUCAGGAAAAUUGGGAAAGACCUCGCCUUUGGUCGAAGUCGGAUAAUGAGACGCCGCCGUGACAACAAACUGCCCGCUUCAACGUCCGAGCCACACGCCUUCCGCCCAAAGACGCCAAUUCGCUCCAAAUGGAAAUACCACCUUCGCAAGAAAAGCCUGCAGGCCUGAUGUCAACCACUGCCAUCGACCUCAAGCACAGCCCGAAAGAAACCAAAACCGGACUCGUUUCAGGCCAACUCACCACCAUCACGCCCGAGAUCGAAGUCUCGUCCUCCCUCAUCUAGAAGAACAACGCCAAAGCACCCUGUUACAAAUUGAAGCCAAGAGGCGCCGCCGCACUGCUCGCGAAACCUAGGUUUAGGCUUCGAUUUGGCUCUGACUUUUCGGGAGCUCUUUAAGAGAAAGAGGAAUUGACUUGAAUCUAGUAUUGUAUUGUUUUUUAUUUAUUAAAAUAUUAAUA